AUUGCCCUAGUACGGCGAGUGAGCGGCAACAGCUCAAAUUUGAAAUCUGGCUCUCGGGCCCGAGUUGUAAUUUGUAGAGGAUACUUUUGAUGCGGUGCCUUCCGAGUUCCCUGGAACGGGACGCCAUAGAGGGUGAGAGCCCCGUCUGGUUGGAUGCCAAAUCUCUGUAAAGUUCCUUCAACGAGUCGAGUAGUUUGGGAAUGCUGCUCUAAAUGGGAGGUAUAUGUCUUCUAAAGCUAAAUACCGGCCAGAGACCGAUAGCGCACAAGUAGAGUGAUCGAAAGAUGAAAAGCACUUUGAAAAGAGAGUUAAAAAGUACGUGAAAUUGUUGAAAGGGAAGCGUUUAUGACCAGACUUGGGCUUGGUUAAUCAUCUGGGGUUCUCCCCAGUGCACUUUUCCAGUCCAGGCCAGCAUCAGUUUUCCCCGGGGGAUAAAGGCGGCGGGAAUGUGGCUCUCUUCGGGGAGUGUUAUAGCCCACCGUGUAAUACCCUGGGGGGGACUGAGGUUCGCGCAUCUGCAAGGAUGCUGGCGUAAUGGUCAUCAACGACACGUCUUGAACACAGAGAGCCACAAAAA
rnacentral:rRNA from 1 species